CCUACGGGUGGCUGCAGUCGAGGAUCUUCGGCAAUGGGCGAAAGCCUGACCGAGCGACGCCGCGUGAGCGAUGAAGGCCUUCGGGUUGUAAUGCUCUGUCGGGGGGGAGAAAGGGCAACUUGAUCGACCCCCGGAGGAAGCACGGGCUAAGUUCGUGCCAGCAGCCGCGGUAAGACGAACCGUGCGAACGUUAUUCGGAAUCACUGGGCUUAAAGGGCGCGUAGGCGGGUCGUCAAGUCAGGGGUGAAAUCCCGCGGCUCAACCGCGGAAGUGCCUUUGAUACGGACGGCCUCGAGGGAGGUAGGGGCGUGUGGAACUUCCGGUGGAGCGGUGAAAUGCGUAGAUAUCGGAAGGAACGCCGGUGGCGAAAGCGACGCGCUGGACCUCUUCUGACGCUGAGGCGCGAAAGCCAGGGGAGCAAACGGGAUUAGAUACCCCUGUAGUC
rnacentral:rRNA from 1 species